GCGGCCGCCCCGGCCGCCCCCGCGGGGGACACCUCCUCGCCGCCACAGCUUUAGGAAACACCUCUACCUCCUGCGAGGCCUCCCGGGCUCCGGGAAAACUACACUGGCCAGGGACGACUGGAGUGAGCACUGGCCUGGGAGUCUGAAGAUUGUGCCUUCAGACCUACUUCGUCACUUACUAGCUGGCGACUUUGGUCAGUCAUCUAGUUUUUCCGGGCCUUAUGUUCCUUACAUGUGACUACUAAAAGGCUACUAGAUUAUAGGAUUUAUUAAAGAUCCUUCUGACUCUUAAUUUCCAGUGGUCAGAUUAAAAAUAGUUUGCUAAUAAUGGCUAUGUUAAAGAGCUCUGACCUUGGAGUCAAUUUAUGGCUCCACAUCCAAGCUCUACCAUUCACUAGUUUUGCUUUUCACCCAACCCCUCUGUGCCUCGGUUUCCUUUUCUGUUAAAUGGGGAUAUCUGUUCUGUUUGCCUCUGAGGGUUUUGUGAACAUUAAAUGUGUGUGGGAGGACUUUUUAAACUUAAAGUGCUAUAUACAUUUUAAGAGGUGUUAGUUACUGCUCCGUUGUUGGUCAGCUGAGAUAAAUCUUCAGUGUUCCCUGGAUCCUGGCUCUGGAGUGAAGAAGGUAGCUUGGCAGUUGACUUUGAGUCCUCCCGUUUCGCUGGGCAUUGGCAGUUCUGGGAGCAGAGCAGCCUUGGCAUGCCAUGGGGUGGAUUGUGUGUUUAUAGAAAAGUCUGGGACGUAAGCGAGGAAAUGGGCCACAGCUCAGCGGAAGGGAGGCCGGUGGUGAGGAUGGAAUGGUGGAGAGGCAGGCUCAGGUGUGGCCCACCAGGAGCUGCCUUCCCCACUUUUUUGGGAGGUAGGGUGGGGAAGAAGAAAAGAGCAAAUUGUUUAAAAAUACACAUGUAUAUAGAAAAUAGUAAAACUGUAAGGUUAUCUGUGUGUUGUUGGAUUCUGGGAAAUUCACAUUUUCUCUAUUCUCUGUAUUUUCCAAAUUUUCUAUAACGAAUAUGUAUUUCUUAGAAUAAAAAUUUUUUUCUUCAAAAUUUGGAGGAAAUCGCUUUUUACAAAUGUGGGUUCAUCUUUUUCUGCUUAACCUUUUUUCUCAUUUGAUUAAAGAACUAAUAAAAAUGUUUUUGAAAUUAA
rnacentral:lncRNA from 1 species